AUUGAACGCUGGCGGCAUGCUUUACACAUGCAAGUCGGACGAGUGGCGAACGGGUGAGUAACAUCUCGGAACGUACCGAGUAAUGGGGGAUAACUAAUCGAAACAUUAGCUAAUACCGCAUAUUAUUCGAGCGGCCGAUAUCGGAUUAGCUGGUUGGUGGGGUAAAGGCCUACCAAGGCGACGAUCAGUAGCGGGUCUGAGAGGAUGACCAGCCACACUGGGACGUAGACCCGGCCCAGCCUCCUACGGGAGGAAGGAGUGGGGAAUUUUGGACAAUGGGCGCAAGCCUGAUCCAGCCAUGCAGCGUGUCUGAAGAAGGCCUUCGGGUUGUAAAGGACUUUUGUCAGGGAAGCGUUACCUGAAGAAGAAGCACCGGCUAACUACGUGCCAGCAGCCGCGGUAAUUC
rnacentral:rRNA from 1 species